rnacentral:misc_RNA from 1 species
GAUGAAGAACGUAGCGAAAUGCGAUAAGUAAUGUGAAUUGCAGAAUUCAGUGAAUCAUCGAAUCUUUGAACGCAUCUUGCGCUCCUUGGUAUUCUGAGGAGCAUGCCUGUUUGAGUGUCAUUAAAUUCUCAACUACACUGACUUUGAUUUGGUGUGGCUUGGAUUUGGGGGGAAAAUUGUUGUGGGCUUUUUGUAUAGUCUGCUCCCCUGAAAUUGAUUAGCGGUACCUUUGUGGAACUGUCUACAGGUGUGAUAAUUAUCUACAUCUUAGACAUCUGCUGGAAUGCUGCUUUCUAAACCUUACUUGUAUUGACAAUCUUGACCUCAAAUCAGGUAGGACUACCCGCUGAACUUAAGCAUAUCAAUAAGCGGAGGA